rnacentral:rRNA from 1 species
ACAACGGAGAGUUUGAUCCUGGCUCAGGAUGAACGCUGGCGGCGUGCUUAACACAUGCAAGUCGAACGAACCUUCGGGUUAGUGGCGGACGGGUGAGUAACGCGUGAGAAUCUGCCCUCAGGAGGGGGAUAACGGCUGGAAACGGCCGCUAAUACCCCAUAUGCCGCGAGGUGAAAUGAAUUUCGCCUGAGGAUGAGCUCGCGUCUGAUUAGCUAGUUGGUGGGGUAAGAGCCUACCAAGGCUUCGAUCAGUAGCUGGUCUGAGAGGAUGAUCAGCCACACUGGGACUGAGACACGGCCCAGACUCCUACGGGAGGCAGCAGUGGGGAAUUUUCCGCAAUGGGCGAAAGCCUGACGGAGCAACGCCGCGUGAGGGAUGAAGGCCUCUGGGCUGUAAACCUCUUUUAUCAAGGAAGAAGAUCUGACGGUACUUGAUGAAUAAGCCACGGCUAAUUCCGUGCCAGCAGCCGCGGUAAUACGGGAGUGGCAAGCGUUAUCCGGAAUUAUUGGGCGUAAAGCGUCCGCAGGCGGUCUUUUAAGUCUGCUGUUAAAGCGUGGAGCUUAACUCCAUUUCGGCAGUGGAAACUGGAAGACUAGAGUGUGGUAGGGGCAGAGGGAAUUCCCGGUGUAGCGGUGAAAUGCGUAGAUAUCGGGAAGAACACCAGUGGCGAAGGCGCUCUGCUGGGCCAUAACUGACGCUCAUGGACGAAAGCCAGGGGAGCGAAAGGGAUUAGAUACCCCUGUAGUCCUGGCCGUAAACGAUGAACACUAGGUGUCGGGGGAAUCGACCCCCUCGGUGUCGUAGCCAACGCGUUAAGUGUUCCGCCUGGGGAGUACGCACGCAAGUGUGAAACUCAAAGGAAUUGACGGGGGCCCGCACAAGCGGUGGAGUAUGUGGUUUAAUUCGAUGCAACGCGAAGAACCUUACCAGGGUUUGACAUCCUGCGAAUCCCUUGGAAACGAGGGAGUGCCUUCGGGAACGCAGUGACAGGUGGUGCAUGGCUGUCGUCAGCUCGUGUCGUGAGAUGUUGGGUUAAGUCCCGCAACGAGCGCAACCCACGUCGUUAGUUGCCAGCAUUCAGUUGGGCACUCUAGCGAGACCGCCGGUGAUAAACCGGAGGAAGGUGUGGAUGACGUCAAGUCAUCAUGCCCCUUACAUCCUGGGCUACACACGUACUACAAUGCUACGGACAAAGGGCAGCAAACUCGCGAGAGCUAGCAAAUCCCAUAAACCGUGGCUCAGUUCAGAUCGUAGGCUGCAACUCGCCUACGUGAAGGAGGAAUCGCUAGUAAUCGCAGGUCAGCAUACUGCGGUGAAUACGUUCCCGGGCCUUGUACACACCGCCCGUCACACCAUGGAAGUUGGCCACGCCCGAAGCCGUUACUCCAACCCUUGUGGAGGAGGAUGUCGAAGGUGGGGCUGAUGACUGGGGUGAAGUCGUAACAAGGUAGCCGUACCGGAAGGUGCGGCUGGAUCACCUCCUA